UCCUACGGGGGGGGCAGCAGUGGGGAAUAUUGGACAAUGGGGGCAAGCCUGAUCCAGCCAUACCGCGUGGGUGAAGAAGGCCUUCGGGUUGUAAAGCCCUUUUGUUGGGAAAGAAAUCCAGCUGGCUAAUACCCGGUUGGGAUGACGGUACCCAAAGAAUAAGCACCGGCUAACUUCGUGCCAGCAGCCGCGGUAAUACGAAGGGUGCAAGCGUUACUCGGAAUUACUGGGCGUAAAGCGUGCGUAGGUGGUCGUUUAAGUCCGUUGUGAAAGCCCUGGGCUCAACCUGGGAACUGCAGUGGAUACUGGGCGACUAGAAUGUGGUAGAGGGUAGCGGAAUUCCUGGUGUAGCAGUGAAAUGCGUAGAGAUCAGGAGGAACAUCCAUGGAGAAGGCAGCUACCUGGACCAACAUUGACACUGAGGCACGAAAGCGUGGGGAGCAAACAGGAUUAGAUACCCUGGUAGUCCACGCCCUAAACGAUGCGAACUGGAUGUUGGGUGCAAUUUGGCACGCAGUAUCGAAGCUAACGCGUUAAGUUCGCCGCCCGGGGAGUACGGUCGCAAGACUGAAACUCAAAGGAA
rnacentral:rRNA from 1 species